GGUUAAUAAUAUGCAUAAAAUUAUUUUAGUUGUCUAUUUUUUACGUAUAAGAUGGAUAUGGGGCAGGUAUAGGUUGGGUAUGGAAACAUGGAUUAUCCGUAGGUAUCUGCGAACUCAUUGACUAUAGGGAUGGAUAUCUCUUUUCUUAUCCGAUCGGAUAUCGGAUAGGAUUUAGAUAUAAAAUAUUAAGUUCGGAUUUGGAGAUGAGUAGUAUAAUACACGACUCAAAUCCUAUCCAUUGCCAUCUCUAGCCCA
rnacentral:lncRNA from 1 species